rnacentral:rRNA from 1 species
AUGGAGUGCUUGCACUCCUGAUGCUUAGCGGCGGACGGGUGAGUAAUACGUAGGUAACCUGCCCUUAAGACCGGGAUAACUCACGGAAACGUGGGCUAAUACCGGAUAGGCGAUUUCCUCGCAUGAGGGAAUCGGGAAAGGCGGAGCAAUCUGCCGCUUAUGGAUGGACCUACGGCGCAUUAGCUAGUUGGUGAGGUAACGGCUCACCAAGGCGACGAUGCGUAGCCGACCUGAGAGGGUGAUCGGCCACACUGGGACUGAGACACGGCCCAGACUCCUACGGGAGGCAGCAGUAGGGAAUCUUCCGCAAUGGACGCAAGUCUGACGGAGCAACGCCGCGUGAGUGAUGAAGGUUUUCGGAUCGUAAAGCUCUGUUGCCAGGGAAGAACGCUAUGGAGAGUAACUGUUCCAUAGGUGACGGUACCUGAGAAGAAAGCCCCGGCUAACUACGUGCCAGCAGCCGCGGUAAUACGUAGGGGGCAAGCGUUGUCCGGAAUUAUUGGGCGUAAAGCGCGCGCAGGCGGUCAUGUAAGUCUGGUGUUUAAACCCGGGGCUCAACUCCGGGUCGCAUCGGAAACUGUGUGACUUGAGUGCAGAAGAGGAAAGUGGAAUUCCACGUGUAGCGGUGAAAUGCGUAGAGAUGUGGAGGAACACCAGUGGCGAAGGCGACUUUCUGGGCUGUAACUGACGCUGAGGCGCGAAAGCGUGGGGAGC